rnacentral:rRNA from 1 species
CUUGCUAAGGCCGAUGGCGACCGGCGCACGGGUGAGUAACACGUAUCCAACCUGCCGUCUACUCUUGGACAGCCUUCUGAAAGGAAGAUUAAUACAAGAUGGCAUCAUGAGUUCACAUGUUCACAUGAUUAAAGGUAUUCCGGUAGACGAUGGGGAUGCGUUCCAUUAGAUAGUAGGCGGGGUAACGGCCCACCUAGUCUUCGAUGGAUAGGGGUUCUGAGAGGAAGGUCCCCCACAUUGGAACUGAGACACGGUCCAAACUCCUACGGGAGGCAGCAGUGAGGAAUAUUGGUCAAUGGGCGCAGGCCUGAACCAGCCAAGUAGCGUGAAGGAUGACUGCCCUAUGGGUUGUAAACUUCUUUUAUAAAGGAAUAAAGUCGGGUAUGUAUACCCGUUUGCAUGUACUUUAUGAAUAAGGAUCGGCUAACUCCGUGCCAGCAGCCGCGGUAAUACGGAGGAUCCGAGCGUUAUCCGGAUUUAUUGGGUUUAAAGGGAGCGUAGAUGGAUGUUUAAGUCAGUUGUGAAAGUUUGCGGCUCAACCGUAAAAUUGCAGUUGAUACUGGAUAUCUUGAGUGCAGUUGAGGCAGGCGGAAUUCGUGGUGUAGCGGUGAAAUGCUUAGAUAUCACGAAGAACUCCGAUUGCGAA